CAGAAAUAUCCAAUCAACAACAACGACGUUUUAAUAAAUGUAAAUAAAUGAAAAAUACUUAUCAUUCUGAUUGUAUUGGAAUAAGUUUUUAGGGAAUACUAUAAGAAUAGCAAACAGUUUGGAUCCUGAUGAGAUGCCACGUUUUGUUUGCAAAGGCCUUCAAAACUCGGUUCCAGCACUGAAAGAGUUAAAUUUCAGUCAACUUCAAUUCUAAGGCGGAGGUUGGAGUGACAAUAAUGCCAGAAACAGGCCAGAAGUCAGGACUGCUUACAUCAUUUGGGAGUAAAAACACCCUGAAUAGUCCGAAAACUAGUCAUAGUUUUACCAGAUUCCUAGAGUAAAAACUUCAACCUAUGGAAGAGAGUGUUAGGUAUGAUGGAUGACCCAACGCCCACCAAAAGGCCACGACUGCUCUCGGAGACCAUUUCCUACAUUAUGAAGCCAAAACGAGCACCCACAGUGGAUGUCAAGCCAUCACAGCAGCUACAGGGGUAUGGUAAACCUUGACGAUCAAAUGAGCAGUGUUCUGGGAAAAUAGGGCUUAAUGCAUGUGCGUAAGUAUCGUCCCAGAUGAGCCUUUGCAGUCCGCACAGGCUAAUCAGGGACGACACUUCCCAGUUUUAUUGAAUUUUUAUGCCCCCGGUAGGGUGGCAUAUAGCAGUUGAACUGUCCGUCAGUCCGUCAGUAUGUGCGUCGGUGCGAAAACUUUUACAUUGCCCAUAACUAUUGCAAUAUAGAAGAUAGCAACUUGAUAUUUGGCAUGCACGUGUAUCUCAUGGAUCUGCACAAUCUGAGUGGUGAAAGGUAAAGGUCAUCCUUCAAUGUCAAAGGUCAAAUAUAUGUCUUCAAAGCGGCGCAGUAGGGGGCAUUGUGUUUCUGACAAACACAUCUCUUGUUAGUUUUAAGUAAGUCUCUUUUAAAUGACAAUCCAGUAUAGGUGAAGCUGUUGUUCCUGAUCAGCCUGUGCGGACUGCAAAGGCUAAUCUGGGACAAAACCUAACACACAUGCACUAAGCCCGGUUUUUCCAAAAGCAGGUCAAAUUUUUACCAUCAGUUUUUACAAAUAAACCAAGAGCCACUUGCCCUGCAGGGCAAGUAGGCCUGAUAAUGCACUUGUCUUAAAGUUAAAUCUGCGACUUGCUUUUUUUCGUGUGUUUACAGUGGUUUGAUAGAAAAGAACUUGUUAAGUUAAAACAAAAUAAGUUCUAAGGUUGGUUAUUUUUAAUGAUUGCUGGUAAAUUUCAUUGAUGAACAUCAGGAGAAGUAUUUCAGGAUUUAAUGAUAAAUAA